GACGAACGCUGGCGGCGUGCUUAACACAUGCAAGUCGAACGGAAAGGCCCUGCUUUUGUGGGGUGCUCGAGUGGCGAACGGGUGAGUAACACGUGAGUAACCUGCCCUUGACUUUGGGAUAACUUCAGGAAACUGGGGCUAAUACCGGAUAGGAGCUCCUGCUGCAUGGUGGGGGUUGGAAAGUUUCGGCGGUUGGGGAUGGACUCGCGGCUUAUCAGCUUGUUGGUGGGGUAGUGGCUUACCAAGGCUUUGACGGGUAGCCGGCCUGAGAGGGUGACCGGCGACAUUGGGACUGAGAUACGGCCCAGACUCCUACGGGAGGCAGCAGUGGGGAAUAUUGCACAAUGGGCGGAAGCCUGAUGCAGCAACGCCGGGUGCGGGAUGACGGCCUUCGGGUUGUAAACCGCUUUCGCCUGUGACGAAGCGUGAGUGACGGUAAUGGGUAAAGAAGCACCGGCUAACUACGUG
rnacentral:rRNA from 1 species